GCUUGUCUCAAAGAUUAAGCCAUGCAUGUCUAAGUAUAACUCUUUUACUUUGAAAACUGCGAACGGCUCAUUAUAUCAGUUAUAGUUUCUUUGAUAGUCCCUUACUACUUGGAUACCCGUAGUAAUUCUAGAGCUAAUACAUGCAUCAAUACCCAACUGUUCGCGGAAGGGUAGUAUUUAUUAGGUAUAGACCAACCCUCUUCGGAGGUGCUUUGGUGAUUCAUAAUAACUUUUCGAAUCGCAUGGCUCCAUGCCGGCGAUGGUUCAUUCAAAUUUCUGCCCUAUCAGCUUUCGAUGGUAGGAUCGAGGCCUACCAUGGCGUUUACGGGUAACGGAGAAUUAGGGUUCGAUUCCGGAGAGGGAGCCUGAGAGAUGGCUACCACAUCCAAGGAAGGCAGCAGG
rnacentral:rRNA from 1 species